rnacentral:lncRNA from 1 species
ACCAAAUUACACGAUUAUUGAUGGUUUUUUUUUUCUUUCUUGUCUUUUUAUUAAUGUUCUUGUCGUAUAUCAUAAUUGCGAUGUAUUGGUAUUUAUAAAAGUUCUGAUAAUGUGGCUAUUUUUUCUUUGAUUAAUCCUAAAUUACCUGUUUACAAAAAAUAAUCGAAAUACAACUGUACAAGGAUUUUUUACCCUAAGAACUUUAGAAAAACCUUUAGGAAUUUUGAACCCCCAAUGCUCUCUGACUUCGUCCUGUAUUAUGUUUUUAAGACUGUUUUUAUUCGAUCGUCAUUGAUAAGUCUGGUGUAGACUAAAAGCAUGACAUAUUCAAGCCUAGCAUAUAUGAUGAGUUUAUUUGAAUUAUGUCCCUUAUACUACAGAAUCUAUACUACGCCGAUUUAAUUUAAAAUAAUAAUGACAUGGGGAAAAAAAUAAAUAUGCUUAUAUCGUAUCAUAGAAUGUUCGCAAUUCAUUAAAGCUUUCUCAAAGUAUUGAACCCGCUGAUAUAAAAGCACGAUGUCUUCCGGUCUAGUAUUAUCUGAUGUGCUUCUUAAAACAUUCCAUACAUCUUUUAUUAUGUCGUAUCGUGCGUCGUUCUCAGUGGCGAAUCCAGAAAUUUUCAUAAGUGGGGGCCCACUGACUGAUCUAAGAGGGGGCCUGCUCGAGUCACGCCUUCAGUGAUUCCCUAUAUAAGCAACCAAUUUAUUUCCCAAAAAGAGGGGGCGGGCCCAACUGCCCCCCCCCUAAAUCCGCCUCUGGUUCUAUAAGUAUGCAUGAACCGUACUAUUUGCCACUGGACAUUAACUUAAUCAGCAAACAACGGUUAGUGAAUCUUUUGGUGUCUCAUGUGUUUGUCAUAGGGAAUAUUUGAAAAACCUACGAGGCCCCUCAUGGGGGGGUCCUAGUAAUCACAUAAUCACCAUUUUUUUGCCAAUAUAAUCACAUAAUCAUUAAAUAUUGCUUAUCUUUAGUAAUCAAAUAAUCAUAAACUAAAAAUACAGUCCUAGGUAAUCAAAUAAUCAUGAAAUAUUUGGCUUAAUAAUCAAAUAAUCAUUAAAAAAACGGCCAAGUAAUCACAUAAUCAAAAACCCCAUGAGGGCCCUCAUUGUACUUUAGAAAAGGGGUUAGUGGGUUGCUGACUUAUAGACGUAUAGUCCCAUUUUAUUUUUGUCGUUUUUACGAUUUUUUAGUAAAUAACAAUAGUAUUGCGUCUUUCUAUAAUGUGGACAAUUGUUAAAUAAAACAACGAGGAUACAAAGAAAUGAAAAAAAAAAAAAAAACAAUUGAGAGUGAUUUCUACCAAAACAAAUGUCCAAAUAAUUUUCCCUGAAUACAUAUCAAGUCAAAACAGAAUCUAUUGAAAAUUAUUCCAAAAUGAAUGUGCAUUAAAAAGUCAAAAUAUUAUAACAUACUAUAUAGGCAUUAUACACACAAAAAAAAGUCAUAGAAGACUCAAUACAUGCAGGAAAGAUUUCAAUCGAAAGUAUCAUAAAAAAGACAUGGGCUAUGGACAUUGUCACAUUGCGCACUUUGGUUUUCUUGUUGUAAGGAUUGAGUUUUUCACAAUUGUUGAUUGAUAUAAAGUUUUAGGCUGGACAUGACUACAGGACACGAAUAAAAAAAAAAACUAUCCGUCACUUUACCGGUAUACUCAUAAUAGACCAGAGAUCAAUAAGUUAUACGUAUAUUUAAACAUUUAAAACUAGGUAAAUACAUUUUAAUAGACCAUAUAUACAUGCAGACAUUUGAUAGUGGUUAACCAAAUAUUCUACCCGGAUAUUGUUAAUCUAAAGAUCACUUGAGCGUGACGGUAUAAUUUACGAUAACGACUCCACCUACACUUUUGUUUAAUCAGACAAAUAUAGCCUAAUACACAAGAGCAGACCCAUUAUAUAAAACAAACAUUAUAUUGUUCACAGC